AUACGGAGGAUCCGAGCGUUAUCCGGAUUUAUUGGGUUUAAAGGGAGCGUAGGUGGAUUGUUAAGUCAGUUGUGAAAGUUUGCGGCUCAACCGUAAAAUUGCAGUUGAAACUGGCAGUCUUGAGUACAGUAGAGGUGGGCGGAAUUCGUGGGGUAGCGGGGAAAUGCUUAGAUAUCACGAAGAACUCCGAUUGCGAAGGCAGCUCACUAGACUGUUACUGACACUGAUGCUCGAAAGUGUGGGUAUCAAACAGGAUUAGAUACCCUGGUAGUCCACACAGUAAACGAUGAAUACUCGCUGUUUGCGAUAUACAGUAAGCGGCCAAGCGAAAGCAUUAAGUAUUCCACCUGGGGAGUACGCCGGCAACGGUGAAACUUAAAGGAAUUGACGGGG
rnacentral:rRNA from 1 species